ACCGAUCGGAACAAAACUUGGUAGCUUGGAGCAGAAGAGAACGCAAAUCCUCGUUAUAACGGACCAUGGGCGGGGGAAAUGGUUCCUGUUAUUGUCGACUGUCUGCUAUAGCCAGAUAAUGGUUGGUGAGUGCGUCGAACAUCAUUCAAGAUGAGUAUAAUUAUUCCAGUAAAAU